AUUUUAUGUAUUUAUUUUACUUUUUUGACUAGAAAUAUCAAAUACUCCAUCAUCAAUCUUGCAGAUUUUUGGGGACUCUCUACCUACGUGAAGUUAUUUCUGCUUGCGAAUAAGCCUUCCAAACAGUUCGUGAUUUUCGAACAAGGAUUUUGAGGUAUGGGGAAGAGGAAAUCCAGAUCAAAGCCACCACCUAAGAAGCGGAUGGACAAGCUUGACACCGUCUUUAGCUGUCCUUUCUGCAACCAUGGAACCUGCGUUGAAUGCCACAUUGAUAUGAAGAACUUGAUUGGGGAAGCCUCCUGCAGAAUAUGUCAAGAGAGCUUCAGUACCAACGUCACAGGUCGUUACAAACCAACCCCAAGACAGAAGUAUGGUACUUGAGUUGUGCAAUUUACAAUGGAAUAACCUGGCGAGAAUGCUGUCAUUUUAGUGGAAGAGACUGUAAUACCCCAGCUUUGACCGAGCCCAUUGACAUAUAUAGUGAAUGGAUUGACGAAUGUGAACGGGUUAACAACCUUGAAGACGACGGUGCUUAGGAUGAAGGCCGGAUGCCUUUGAACACUAGUUCCAGUGCUGGAGUAUCUAUUAAUAACCGAGCCAGGGACCAUCAUAGUUUUAAUACUCUUGACACAUGGUAUCUAAUUCCGUGUUAGUGUGAGAGAAUAAUUUGUAAGCAUUUCAAGGUAACCACAUUAGGAAUGUGUCCUACGUAGUUGAUCCUAAUAUCAAAUGCCCCCAUGCAUUGUGCUGUAAUACUUAAGAUUUAUGUGCUGAUAUAUUGUAUUGUAUGAUAAAUGUGUUGCUUAGAUUUUUGUUCUCGUCUUUGGUUUUUCUGUGAUAAGAGCGGGCCCUCGACAAUGCUUGUUGGGUCUUUUUCUAUGUACAGCAUUUUACCUCCAGUUAUGUUAAAGCUUCAGCGAAGGAUAGUGAUAC